AAGUGCAGUAUUUAUGAGAUUAAUUGAUAAACAUAAAGUUCUGCAAUAAGCCAAAAGUGUGAAACAAAUAGUUUCACAUCUGUCAAAAAGAUUUUGAGGAAGGGGUCAUCUUGAAGACAUACUUUAUUCAAAAUUGACUACAGUUAAUUUAAUGUGAAAAUAGAUUUGAAGAAUACACGCAGUGCACAAGUAUUUCAAAAUGUCAGAAGCUGCUGAUGAUCCGAUAAUUAAAAUUGAACCACAAGAAUAUCCAAUCGAAGACAUCAAACAGGAAAUAGAAGAAGACCCUGAAUCCUAUUCAGAG